AACGCACAUGGCGCCUCCCAGUAUCCUGGGAGGCAUGCCUGUCCGAGCGUCGUUUCAACCCUCGAGCCCCCCCUAUAAAGGGGGCCCGGCGUUGGGGUUCCACGCCUGGCGUGGUCCCUGAAAACCAGCGGCGGACCCGUGGCGGCCCUUCCCUUGCGCAGUAGCUUACGCCUCGCAUCGGGAGCCCUCGGGCUUCUUGCCGUCAAAAACCCCUACAAGCCCGCCCCGUGCGGCACAAGGUUGACCUCGGAUCAGGUAGGAAUACCCGCUGAACUUAA
rnacentral:misc_RNA from 1 species